AUGUUUUUCUCCCCCCAAAAAAUUACUACAGUCCAGUUCUGGGAUGUAUUUUCUGAUUACAUCUUUCUCCCCCACCCCCCCUGGUCACCCUCCUUCCAACCCUCCCUNNNNNNNNNNUCUCUCUCCCCCCCCUCUCUCUCACAGAAAGCGAUCCGAGUCACCACCUUCAUGCAGCGUCUUCGUGCGUCUGAGACUGCUGCAGCUGAAGUGGAGGCAGGAGGACAGGGGGAAGGAAGGGGUGAGGACCAGGGAGGAGGAGGGCAGAGUGAGGGAGGAGGGGUGACACCAGAGGUGACGGUUGGAACUAAUCCGGAGCGUGAGGAGAGGAACGGGGGAGUCGGGGUGAGGAGGUGGGGAGAGGAGAGGGGAGGAGGGGGGAGAAACCCUUUGAGUCCCUCUGUAGGGAUCUCUCCUUCCACCAAUAAUGAACCGCUGUCCCAGCCUCCCAACCAAUCAAAUGCCAGCUCCAAACCUCUGGGGGACGAGACAAAGAAGCCAGCCGUGAAGAAGACGUCAGGCAAAAUGGCCGCAGCAUUGGGUCAAACCAAAACAACAACAGAGACCAAAACACCUCCUACCCCCAUCGUAACCCCUGACCUCACCAAGCCCCAGGACCCCGUCACUGUCUCUGACCACGACACAGCAGCACCAUCGUUGCCUAGCAAUGCCAAGAAGAAGCAACCAACCUAUGUCACUCCUGAGACUCCAACGACUCAACGACACAAGAUGGACGCCCAACUCCCCAACAUGGGCCCAGGCCCUGCUGCUGCUACUACUACUACUGCUGCAGCCAUAGCCCCACCUGCUGACAGGAGGCCGGCAGUGCAGGCUCCAGUAGAGGAGAAGAAGCUGGGUGACAGUAGCUGGUGUCAGACCCAGCUCCCUGAGGCUGUAGCUGAGAGGCCUGCUGGAGUAGGGGGAGGAACUGGGAUUGAGAUGGGAGGGGGAGGGGCAUCUGGAGCAGGGUCAGGGGUACUUGGAACAGGAUCAACAGUGAGAACUGGGAUAGGCCCAAGAGGUGACGCGAGCCCCAUUGGUAGAGACCAGAGAGCAGACAGGCACAGUGUAGAGUCCAGGGGGGAACCCGAACCGUCCGAGGGGGGCUACAGUUAUACCAUAGGGGCCCUGGGAAGCUCCCGUUGUCUAGGCCGACACACCACCCUAUACGGCCAGGAGGUAGAGCUGGGUGGGUACGGGGGUUCCUACUGCUCCUCUCUGUACGGCAGCGGGGGUGGAGGGAGGAUGUAUGGGGGCCUGGAACACGGAGGUGUUGGGGUCAGAGGUCAUGGUAGUAGCACUGCUGAUUGGCAGAUGGACAGCGUGAUCGAACAGAUCGAGAAGCAAAUGGCGGCGGUGCUGGAGAAGAUCGAGGGGGACAUGCCCUCUCUCCUGGAACAGAUCAGUGACUGCCCCCCGCCACCCGAACCCCCCCGCAGCACACACACCUCCCCCUCCUCACGCUCCCGCUCCUCCCAACACCAACCAUCUCACUCCUUCACCUCCUCCCUCACCUCCCUCACCUCCACUGCUACACCCCCACCCCUCCCCACAUCUCCCAGACCACCUCUUCCCUCCCUCCCCCACCUCACCAUCCCCCCUCCAUCCUACCCGCCUCCUUCCCUGCCCACCCGGUCCCCUGGUGAGCCAGUCGGUGAGCACAAGGAGAGAGACGGACAGAGGGGAGCAGUCCAUUCCAGCCAAUCCCCAUCCAUGAGGCCAGGGAAGGGCCUAUGA
rnacentral:lncRNA from 13 species